GCUUUUUUUGAGCGUGGACUUUUUUUAGAUGCUUUUAAUUGGAUGCGGGGCUGGCGGCGGGCGCCCAGCGGGCGAGGGAGCGCGGGGACAACGAGGGAGGAGCUAGGGCUAGACCUAGCUCCCCUGCUCCUCGAGGACGGAGGGGCUCUGGGGCUGCCGGCCGGAGGAGGAGCGGGGCGGCGACGCAGGCCGCGGCGGUGCCGGAGACCUCGGUCCCUUCGGUACCGGACUCGAGCCGGAGCUCCAGGGGCGGCGGCAGAGGACGUCGAAGACGGGGCGGCGGAGUGGCGGGCUCGAGCGGCAGCGCGGCGGCGGCCGAGACCAGCGGAGGUGGAGGCGAGGUCCGUUGGGAGCCAGCGGCCGAGCGACCUCGUGCUGCCGUCUGCUACCUACGGACCAACACACGCUGCCUACGUCAAGAGUGCGCGUUUGAUCCCAACCUCGGCGGUCGAGAAGUAGGACGGGCGGCCGCCGCUCAGAAGGGCAGGGCAUGACGGCGGAGGGGCAAUAGUGUCCAAGUAGACCAGGAAAUGAGGAGUGUAUUAUUGACACUUUGAAUUACUCCUUGAAGACUUUUUACGAGGGAGGGGAGACUACAGAUAAACCAAUGAAUACGAACACACCAGACCAACAAGGAUUCACGAAAGCCUGUAAUAAUAAACACACUAGUCGUAACUCAUCUAACGGACGUCGUUCUAUUGAACUCAAAAAAAAUGAAUUCAUUUGCUAUACAUUUAUCGAGAUUCAAUUGACCUGUAAAACAGCGUAACCGAACUUAGACGUACAACGUAGUAAACACGUGUUACUUUUGACAUACUUGGACGUAACCUACCACAUAAACAUCCUUCCAAUAGGAAAGAAGUUCCUGACCUUCAAAGGACCAUUCACAAGGAAAAAGAAUUUUUGAGACACAAACAAGCGACAUUAUAAAACAAAUGUAGUCCAAAGAGAAAGGAAAACACCCGUAUUACCCGCUCUGUUAUUAUAAGUCUUUCAACAACAAAAUCCCUUUGACGAUUGAGGUAUACAGUCUGGGUAUAGUAACAACUCGUACGUAUCACAAGGAUACAGUAAAGAUACUACAUAAACAAAGGAAAAUAUAGUGUCAUCAGAAGUAAAACCGGUACAUGGAAGUUUGACUUGGUUUUUACCAAACAGACUACUGUACAAACUCCUCUAAGAACUAUACUUUGUCAUCUAUACUCCCACUGGCAAAAAAAACGUUCAAAACAGGCACCUUAGAAAAACGUCAACUAUUCUGUACCCGACCUGAAUGAAGGCUAGACGUUAUAAAAGCCAUUUCACUAAGUUCCUUUGUUUGUAGGUGACACAGUUAGUGAGUUCUACCACGUACGUCAAAAGGACUUUCAAUUCAGACUCUCGGACGAGGAUGUAUUUCGACCCACUGCCCUGCUGCCGGUUAAAGACCCUCCUGUUUACCAACGGCCCACCCGCAAGGCAGAUUCUGGACCGUGGUUGUGACGAGUGAAAACACGGGUUCUCGUGUUGAUCAGUAGAUCCCAAACCUACCCCGACCCAAGGAUGUUGCUGCCGUUGUCUCCGCUGUUUGUGGUGAAACGUUGGAGCGGCUUGACACAACGACUUGACUUCACAUCCCUGUCGUCGUCAAAAUGGUGGCUACCACAACGUACAUUCGACCUACAAGAGUAACAAGACAACCGAGACUAGCCCUACACUCCAUGUUGAUAGUUUCACUGUAAUUAAAACCAACACUAAGGAUAGGCGUCGGAGAAGAUGUGAUCCGUGUACCUUCAAAUAGAAGUCUCUUCCUUUUGUGAGCUGCUAGACCGAGACAGAGUCCAUAUACGAGGGAGCGGGCGUUCUAGGAGAGAGAGGGUAGAUGCGUAGCGUUGUCGUGAAGUCGAGGAGAACACCUAAGAGUGGUCUAGUCCGGUGGAGUGAGUGGAAGUCAGACAGCACUACCUGUUUCAAUUCUAGGGUUGUUUUUCACGAAGAACUACGAUACUACGUCGUUGAAUUGGAAGGUUUAAUGUCAAAUGAUUUGUCUGGAGCGGCCGUCUAGGGAGUCGAUAGUCCCUUCCGUCAGUAGUCGCCUCUAACUCCCGCGGAGAGGCCGCUCUCACGAGUACAGCACCACCAAAAGGUGGUCGUCGCACCCCCUCCGCCACAGGAGACGUCGAUCCAGAUGAAUGACCGCUGGAGUGGUAGUGGUCGGGUGGACGUCCCAGAGUUUUCCAGACGACAAGGACCUACCACGCACACUAUCGACGUAUACUCCUACAUGCUUCCUAAACCGACGCUUGAGUUAGUCUGGUAACCUAACUUCGACUUCCCCCGUAACGUUUCUAUGCUUCCUUACCGGAAAGCAAGUAUUGGACCAGUCGAUGUGUUGUAGACCAGCAUGUACAAAGACAACGUCGCCGGGUCAAUGCACCUCUUCUUACCGUAUGCGACUCCUAACACAGUCGACUAAAAGAUUGAGUACAAAUCGAGUACCUAAGAGUAAAUAGAGAAGUUAAAUGUGUUCCUCCACGUAAUAGUCGAGAAUACAUAAAAGAAUUAUUGGCAACUAUCCUUACUGUUGAUACAACUCUACACCAUCUGGUAACUUACUGAAAACCAGGUCUUACUUUUUAUCUCCGUAUUAAUAACAUUAAAACAACGACGAUUAAAGAAAGUUUGCUUCGUACCGAAGAUUAGGUGU
rnacentral:rRNA from 1 species